rnacentral:tRNA from 1 species
GCCGAGAUGGCGAAAUUGGUAGACGCAAGGGACUUAAAAUCCCUCGGACUUUAUGUCUGUGCCGGUUCGACCCCGGCUCUCGGUA